UACGGAGGGUGCAAGCGUUAUUCGGAAUUAUUGGGCGUAAAGGGCGCGUAGGCGGCCACUUAUGUCAGAUGUGAAAUCCCGGGGCUUAACCCCGGAAGUGCAUUUGAAACUGAGUGGCUUGAGUAUGGGAGAGGGAAGUGGAAUUCCUGGUGUAGAGGUGAAAUUCGUAGAUAUCAGGAGGAACACCAGUGGCGAAGGCGACUUCCUGGACCAAUACUGACGCUGAGGCGCGAAGGCGUGGGGAGCAAACAGG
rnacentral:rRNA from 1 species